rnacentral:lncRNA from 1 species
CAGUGAGCCAAGAUCAUGCCACUGCACUCCAGCUUGGGUGAUAGAGUGAGAUCCUGUCUUGGAAAAAAAAAAAAAUUGUCACUGCUGGUGUGGUGGGGCACCACCUGUGGUCCCAGUUGCCUGCAGAGGCUGAGGUGGUCGGAUUGCUUGAGCCUGGGAGGUCAAGGCUGCAGUAAGCUAUGAUGACACCACUGCACUCCAGCCUGGGCAUCAGAGCAAGACCCUGUCUCAAAAGAAAUUUUGUCUCAAAUUUUAAAAUAAUGUAUUAAAACAUGAAAAAAGUAACAACGGUGUCUCUGUUUUAAAUCAAGGAGAAGGACAUUGUCAUCUUCAUUAGAUUGUUUAUAUUCAGCUUGGUGUCAGACUAUUGUGAUGGACAUUCUCGGGGAAGGUGAUUUGCCGCACCACCAGGAUCUACAUCUCAUCGUGACUCUGGCCCGCAUCCCACUGAGCAACCCCAACUCCUCAUGGGAGUUCAUGGAAGCCACGGCCACCCAGCACUGCCACAGCAAGAAGGCUCAGGAGGUGCAUAACUGAUCUGCAGAUGAACCCAGCACCUACUCAGGUCUCUGUAGAUGGUCACCUUUCUUCUUGAGGAAUCGCCCCAGAACAGAGCACCAUAUUCCCCUAGGGCUGACUAUCACAUCUGUGGCUCAGUUGUCUCCAUCUGGACACUUCUCUGGAUGCAUCCUCUCUUCAGUUUUGGCUUCUAUUAAGUUUGUGUGUUAAGGAGGAACCCAAAUGGAAUCAAGGAGUGGAGCAUAAAAAUCGGUUUCUUAUGCCUCUGCACUUCACCUUUCUCCUGUUCAUCCCACUCUGCCAUCAUUGCCUGCUUGCCUCCGAAUUGCCCACGACAGUGCAGUCUGGGCACGGACCACACCUCCCAUGCAGCGGUGGCUUUGUGAUCUGUCCACCUGGGUAAGCUGAACCGCACUUCCCAGAAUUCCCUUCCCGUGUGUUUCCGGUUAGAGUGGAGCACAGAGGAGAAACUUGUGGAAGGUUUGGAGGUGGGAAGUGAAGCAGCAGUCAUUUUACAGCUCACACGAAUUGUGGCUUCUCUGCUGGCUCACCUCAGCAGAGGCAGGAACUGACACGGGGCCAGGUGCCACCGGUGGCUCAUGCCUGUAAUCCCAGCACUUUGAGAGGCCAAGGCAGGUGGAUUGCUUGAGACCGGGAGUUCAAGACCAGCCUGGGCAACAUGGCAAAACCCUUCUCUACAAAAAAUACAAACAUUAGCCAGGUGUGGUGGCUCAUGCCUGUAGUCCCAGCUACUUGGGAGGCUGAGGUGGGAGGAUUUGCUUGAGACCAGGAAGGUCAAGGCUGCAGGGAGCUGAGAUUGGGCCAUGACACUCCAUCCUGGGCAACAGAGUGAGACCCUGUCUCAAAAAAACAAAAAAGAACUGACACAGACGGAUGUGUCUGCCUUCAAGGGCUCCUGCUUGGGCUUGUCCUCCCUUACUUUACAUCCGUCUGUCCUUCCCGAUUGUCUGCAGAGCCUGCUUAAGCAG